rnacentral:lncRNA from 1 species
AUAAAAGCAGGCAGGAACUAUAUAAGGAGGAGCUGGGUUUGGAAGAUUAAGAAGGCGAGUAUUUUUUAUAGGCCCAAAACAAACACAAGAUAAAUGUCGAAACAAGCGAACGGGUCAAUUAAAUCAUGGAUUAGUGCUGGAGAUGCAGAGCUGUGGAGAAAACCAGCCGAUACCCCUCCAGAACCAGAACUCAGAACCGCUCGAUAAGGAAGAGCAGCAGGACAGUUUGUUCCUGGAAGGGUCCCCUGCCUUUGACACCUCCAUACAGUAUGAACCAGGCUGGAGAAAGAGAGAAGUAUUUCAGACAGCUGGCAGACUGGAUUUUAGAAGGGCCCACAUUUCCCAGUGGCUCAUCUCAUUAUACAGGGUGUGCACUCAGCCUCCAAACAUAAGGGACGUUGAUCUGUCCUCUGCUUUGAAAGCCUGGCCAGCAGGCUGUGUCAUCUGGAGAUCCUUUGACGUUAUCAAACUGACACAUCCGAACAUGUCUCAUCCUGUGUAUGGGUGUAUGCAUCAUUGAUGCUUUGCUAAAGUGACAUUUUCUUAUUUUUUUUCCACCUUUUAUGCUUUAGUUUUCAAGCAGGUGACUCCCCUCACACCUGAACGGAACAUUUUUUAGUUUCGAUUCAAAAACCUCAAAGGCAUUGAUUUGAUAACACUUCCUUCCACUUCUAGAGCUCUUUUCUGGAC